rnacentral:rRNA from 1 species
AUUGAACGCUGGCGGCAGGCCUAACACAUGCAAGUCGAGCGCGCGGCGGACGCGUGAGUAAAGUCUGGGAAACUGCCUGAUGGAGGGGGAUAUCUACUGGAAACGCUAGCUAAUACCGCAUACCAUCAGAUGUGCCCCCAUGGGAUUAGCUAGUAGGUGGGGUAACGGCGCACCUAGGCGCCGAUCCCUAGCUGGUCUGAGAGGAUGACCAGCCACACUGGAACUGAGACACGGUCCAGACUCCUACGGGAGGCAGCAGUGGGGAAUAUUGCACGAUGGGCGCAAGCCUGAUGCAGCCAUGCCGCGUGUGUGAAGAAGGCCUUCGGGUUGUAAAGCACUUUCAGCGGGGAGGCGUUACCCGCAGAAGAAGCACCGGCUAACUCCGUGCCAGCAGCCGCGGUAAUUC